GAUGAACGCUGGCUACAGGCUUAACACAUGCAAGUCGUGGGGAAACGGCAUUAUGUGCUUGCACAUUCUGGACGUCGACCGGCGCACGGGUGAGUAUCGCGUAUCCAACCUGCCCCUUACUUGGGGAUACCCCGUUGAAAGACGGCCUAAUACCCGAUGUGUUUCAUUGACGGCAUCCGAUAUGAAACAAAGGUUUUUCCGGUAAGGGAUGGGGAUGCGUCUGAUUAGCUAGUUGGCGGGGCAACGGCCCACCAAGGCGACGAUCAGUAGGGGUUCUGAGAGGAAGGUCCCCCACAUUGGAACUGAGACACGGUCCAAACUCCUACGGGAGGCAGCAGCGAGGAAUAUUGGUCAAUGGACGCAAGUCUGAACCAGCCAAGUAGCGUGCAGGAUGACGGCCCUAUGGGUUGUAAACUGCUUUUAUGUGGGAAUAAAUUGGCGCACGUGUGCGCCAUUGCAUGUACCUCAUGAAUAAGGACCGGCUAAUUCCGUGCCAGCAGCCGCGGUAAUACGGAAGGUCCGGGCGUUAUCCGGAUUUAUUGGGUUUAAAGGGAGUGUAGGCGGUCUGUUAAGCGUGUUGUGAAAUUUAGGUGCUCAACAUUUAACUUGCAGCGCGAACUGUCAGACUUGAGUACACGCAGCGCAGGCGGAAUUCAUGGUGUAGCGGUGAAAUGCUUAGAUAUCAUGAGGAACUCCGAUCGCGAAGGCAGCCUGCGGGAGUGUUACUGACGCUUAAGCUCGAAGUGCGGGUAUCGAAAGG
rnacentral:rRNA from 1 species